UUAUGAUUUCAGCUCUUAAUAUUUGUCCAGUAGGUUUCCCACCGCAUGGAAAGCCUAU
rnacentral:snRNA from 1 species